UACAGAGGUCUCAAGCGUUGGUCGGAUUCAUUGGGCGUAAAGGGUGCGUAGGCGGCGCGGUAAGUCGGGUGUGAAAUCUUGGAGCUUAACUCCGAAACUGCAUUCGAUACUGCCGUGCUUGAGGACUGGAGAGGAGACUGGAAUUUACGGUGUAGCGGUGAAAUGCGUAGAUAUCGUAAGGAAGACCAGUGGCGAAGGCGGGUCUCUGGACAGUUCCUGACGCUGAGGCACGAAGGCCAGGGGAGCAAACGGG
rnacentral:rRNA from 1 species